GAGAGGGGCCCGUGCCUUGGAAAGCGUCGCG
rnacentral:piRNA from 2 species